GUGAUUCAAUGGUGGCACUAGCUAUUGUGGGUUAAUGGCGAGAACCGGGUAGCUGCAACGGGGAAGAUACGGCGCCCUUUUUUCUGAAAACAAUUCUGAGAGCAGCAAUGCGACUUUAGUGGAGCGCAGUGUGGCGGGGGGUCUGUAGCUGGCAUAUCCACUGCAGUACGAACAAGAAGAACGGAGAGAAAUCCAUCUAGUAGAAAACAAGAUGAGUCACUCGUGUUCAGUAAGUGUCCCAUUUCUUUAUGAAAACCGAGGAUUGGUGCUGGACAUGAUUCUCCGCUCUUUGUUAGGAGUAGCCCAGCCCAAGACUAUCAACUGGGAAAGUGUAGCUAGACUCAUACCGGGAGUCACAGCCAAGCAGUGUGCCAAGAGAUUUGAAGAGAUGAGAAACAAUGGAACCAUGCCCCAUAUUUGUGAUGAAAACAAGUGUGAAGGGAGUCCAUCUAAAUCAUUAGCUACAUAUAUUAAAUCAACGUUACUGGACCAUGAAGAAAAUGAAAAAUCUAGGUUAUCUGUGGUCCCGAAUAGCAUUUCCACAUCAGGACGGGCUGGAGUAUCUUCAGGAAGAAAUUGCACUCUAAAAGAAAAUGGUUCAAGUGAUAAAGAUGAAGACAAACUGGAUGAAAGCCAAGGGCCCAACAUGGUAAUCCAUGUUUGUGAUGAAGCCAAAAACCUGAAGCGUGAUUUUGUUUGUCCUCGGAAUCUACUAGUCAGUGAAAUGAAGUACUUUGCUGAGUAUCUGUCUGUUGAUGCACAACGCUGGCAGGAAGUAGACAUAUCGGUGCACUGUGAUGUCCAUAUCUUUGCCUGGUUGAUGAGCUAUGUGAAGAGGAAACUAAAACAUCAAGGACAAACUGAACAACCAGAACUAGAGCCCAACAAUGUUAUUUCAAUCCUCAUUUCAUCUGAAUUUUUGAAAAUGGAUUCGUUGGUUGAAGAAUGUAUGCGUUACUGUCAUAAAAAUAUGAGUGCCAUUGUAGCUACUCCUUGCAAUAUGAACUGUAUUAAUGGGACUCUGGCCUCACGUAUUGUUGACCUUUUCACACAUAACGAAGCUGAUGAAGUAAAAGACAGAAAAGAUAAAUUUAAAAGUAAAAUAUUUUGCAAGAAGAUUGAGAGGCUGUUUGAUCCAGAUUACAAGGACCCAGACUCCCCAGCGAGUGCUGAUACAUUGUACAGAUGUGGCAUGUGUAAGAAACUUCUUACCAAAGAAACUGAGAAAAUGAUUCCUUGUACUCCUCUGAAAAUAAAUAUCGAUCUUCGAGGAAAUAUAAUAUACUUGCACAUUAGAGAUAAAAGCUGGGAUGUGCAUGAGUAUCUUAAUAGUCUUUAUGAAGACUUGAAGUCUUGGCAAGAUGUGUACUGGCGUUUAUGGGGGACUAUAAAUUGGUUGCCCUGCACAAGAUGUAAAAAAGUUUUCCAAUGCAUCGAACUCUCCCACUGCCAGUAUCACCCAGAACAAGUGAUGUAUCCUUCGAUAUGUAACCAGUUAUCCACUCCUGGCAUCGGGUUCUACCCUUGCUGUAAGCAGAAAGUUCUACGAUUUGAUCCUCUUCAAACAAAUACAGGUUGUAAAGUGCGUGAUCAUGUUGUCAAAUUAGCCAGUCAACUUCAAAAUGGUAAACUUACUUCAGUACCAGUCAGUCAAGUGUAUUGUGAUGUCCUGCAACAUAAGGAUAUUGUCUGUGUGCCAUUCUGUAAAACAGAGGAAAGUAAUGCAAGCGCACACAUUUCUGGCGAGCAGGACCUUGAUUUUGAUAUCUUAGCUGAACCUAAUUCAUGGAAAGGACAGAAAAUUGGAGAUGUCACAACUUUUUCACUUUUGAAAAACUGGAGUUUGCAGCUGAAGCAGCAAGUAAUGUAUUCUGAAGAUGAAGAAUAUACCACAGGUUCAGAGGUAACUGAGGAUGAAGUGGGAGAUGAAGAAGAACUGACAAAGAAAAGAGGUACAAAAAAGGUUAAGAAAAUUGCCAACCAGGCAAAGAAGUCAGCAGCAUCUCCUACCACACAGAAAAAAGAGAAGGGAUCUCUUCGAGAUGUAUCUCCUUUCACGAGAAAACAGCUCACAAUAACGCAGAGAGGCUGCAGACUGGCAGAGGACCGCCCCACCUUCCAAUCUUGACCAGAUAGAGCAGGAGGCACUGGAACUGGAGAAGCACCAUGCGCCUAGAUCAACUGGCCGCAGUAAAGUUGGGGUGCCACCAGGAGUGUAUGUUUUCAGAAAAGCAAGUGGGACAGCAGUCGCUCAAUGCGAUUUAACCAGGAUGCUCAAAGAGAGGAAGAUCAACGAAGGAUGGUUGAAAUAAUUGGACAUCUGACAAAAAUAAGGUUUGGAGAAAAAAUUGAUCGCACCAAGGCAAAAGAAGGAAAAGAGUUUGCUGGUGGCAUUUAUUGCAGAUUGGAAUCCCAGCUUAAAGGUUGUCCACCACCAACUUCUCGUCAGAAUAAUUCAUCACAAAACACAAGGUCCAAGGCCCGCUUUUCACAGAUGCGCCCAACAUAAUGGAUUCCAAGGACUAAGAAGGAUGAUCUUUUGCUUUUUUGGGAUGAUUGCGUGAUAAAUACCAAACUGCACCAUAACUUAAAUCUGCAUGUUUAAUUGCAUCACGAAAUAUCUAAUCACGUACAAUUAGCUAAUGGUUUUCAUGAUUUUACAGUAGUAUAUACUUGAACUAUAUCAGAUAAAAGAUGACACCAUGAAAUUCAAUUUAAGCUGUUAACUGUUCUGUAUUAACCUGUCGGUAUUCAAAUUAGUUAACUGCACUUAUGCUAAGCAUUUGAACCCUUUCCCACUUAACUUUUCAGUGUGUCUUUUCUGGUUCUCCAAAACUUCAGUGGAUUCAAUAUUAGACUCUAAACUGCAAGCAAUUCUUCAAAUAAUAUUCAAUAUAAAAAGCUUUAACUUGCAAAAUUUUGAAGUUUAAGUUGCUGGGCAACUGAUCCUGAAAUGAAAAACUUUUAUUUUAAAAAAAAAACUGGUUGGCAGCCAUCUUGUAUUUGGGGAAGUGGGUGUUCUGUAUGUUUAUAGCUACCUGAAGUUCUUGUUGCUUUGUAGUAUUGUUCCAGAUGGUCUUUGAAAUAAUGUGGUGCAACCCCUUAUUUAUAGAUAAAUUGUUUACAUAUCCUACAUUUUGUUUUUACCUUCCAUUUUAGUUUCUGAAAUCUAAAUAUUGGUACUUGUAAAAUUCUUUGGAAUUAAAUUUUGUACUGUAAUUUCUGAAGCAAGUUUAUGGGGAUUUUAAAAGCCAUUUCUAGCAUUCUACAAUGAUUAGAAUAAUGAAAUAGUUUAUACAAUGUAAUAGGGAUUACAUCCCUUUUAAAAGAUCCUUGUAGAUUAGCUAUUUAGGAAAAGAAAUCCUAAACUUUCUUUGUUUAUUCCCAUUUUUCAGAAGUUUGCAAAAUAAAUACAUUGAGGAAAACUUACUGUCUUCAUUUAUACUACUGUAAUUAUGAAAUUGAGAGAUGAUGGCUGAGGGGGGUCUGAGAAUAAUGGAGAUGUAUAUUGAACAGAUUUAAGAGCUGGUUUUGAGCUAUGGUCUACUCUCUUGCCAAAGAAAGGGGUUGAUCUCUCUCAUUUAUUGUGCUCUCAACAUGUGAAACUUCCAUUCAACUUUAGUGUACAUAUUUGCUUUUCACACUAUCGAAACGAUUAACAGUGAAGAGCGACUUCCUCAAUUAAAUGCCUAAUAAGCAGUACCGUACCUGAGUUUUCAGAAAUAUGAUGUUUCAGGGAAUCAACGUAGUUAAACUGUCAGAAACCAACAACCUUUCAUUGCUUUAGACCACUUAACUGUUCAGUUUGAAUAGCUAUAUUUGCCUUGAUACUCAUCCAAAAUUACCUUGUUUGCUUAUGUCCAAUAUCUCAUUUAGAUGUCAGUUUUGCUAAGCUGUAUGUUUUCUCCGUUCUCUCAACUGAGUCAACAACAAUUAUUUUGUUUAGUAAUUUCUAAAAGUGAACUAUUUGGGAGACGUUCACCCAAAUAGCGAUACAUCACACCAUCAUUGUAAGGCUGAUUAUAGAUGCAACUGCUGUACAGCCUAAUAGACAUCCAAAGUGACAUGAAAAUUUGGACUGACAUUAAAGCUUAUUUUGAUUCCCA